rnacentral:lncRNA from 1 species
AUGUUGCUGUGUUGUUUUAAACUAUCUAAUUAAAUCCACUUUAAGUGUUCAAAAGAAAGAAACUUUCCCUGUUUAAAUAUAUGUUACUGCAGCUGUUGCUCUAAUUAAACAAAUUUUGAAUAGUGAUAGUUUGUUGAGGCCCAUUUAGCAAAGCCCAUUUAAUACACCAGAAAACAAGACCUUGAAAUCUUUUUUUCAUAUUGAAAUGUGUGUAUAAAUACAGAGUUCAUUCAAGAAAUGCCAUCGUGCAGACAAAUACUGAAUUUGCCUUGUUUUAACACAACUGAAGCCUGCUUUUUUUCAAUGGGCAGUUUGCUUCAAUAGGCACGGUAGACUUACAAACCUGGAUUUUAAUAAUCUGCUAUGAAAUUUCCCAUCUGUGACCAUUGUGGGAAUUGGGAAACGAGGGUUUUCUUAGCUUUAAGGGAUAGAAAGUUGCACUGGAAACUGAAAUUCUCUGAAGCUGUCACUUGAGAUACAAACUGUUAUUUGGUAGUUCUUAGUUCAAGUGUUUCAUAUUGUGCCAAGAUCACUACAAACAUCCAUGAAAAGUUUAUGUAUGGAGUUUAUGCUUGACUAUGCUUAGGCUAAGGGGUUUGUCUUCUGUGUCGGGAUCUCACAGAGCAGUGGUGGUCUGAGCACGUUUUCUGUGCCUUCUUUCCCACUUGCUGAGCUACAAGAAAUGGCGCAAAGCAUAAAGCGUGGACAGGAGCCUUGAGUUUCCGUACGGAUGGGAUUAAGUUCAGGAGAUGGAGAAGUGCAGAGGGGAACUCACUUCCUGCUCAGCUAGAUCACAGCUUGACUCCUGUCAGUGGCCGGGCAGGUGCUCUUGUCAUGCCUCGGGGAGAGCAGGAGUGUCUCGCAGCACAGGUAAUCAAUAGCACCAUCUGUCUCCUCCUUCUCACCCACCGCGCACGUGCUCCUGCUCUCCUGGGGAAGUUGGCUUCGUUUUCAGACAUAGUAUGAGCUAAAGUAUCUCUCGGUUCACUAGACUUGAAGGUGGAGAUAUUUAACCAAACCACAGCAUGGCAAACACAACCUUUCUGUUAGGAGCGUUG